UCACUUUUCUUCCACAUACUCUGAAGCCCUUAUUUCUACCUUCCCCUGUAUUUCCCCUGUUUUCUCCUCCUCUUCUUGUUCUUCUUCUUCUUCGUCUUCUGCUCCUCCUUCUCCUUCUCCCUCUUCUGCUCCUCCUCCUCCUCCUCCUCUUGAAAGUUUUCCAUUUUUCACCUUAAAAUUCAAAGGAUAUUGCCAACUACAGCCUCCACAAUGAAGAAGAAUCCAAAGGUAAGGCUUCCCCCAAGGAGGGGGCAGAUCAAAGCCGAGAUAUUUAGGAAAUUCGUCAACGCAAUCGUCUCAAUUGCGGCCAUGGUUGGGUGUCAAGGAGGGAAGAAAGGUGGCUAUGGUCUCGCCAAGAACCCUAUAGUUCCGACUGAAACUACCGCCAUGUCUUGGAGUAAUUCUGCAGGAACAGACAAUGCAUAAGUUUUACAUUCCUCAAGAAAUUUUUUUUCGCGUUGUUGUUUUUAUUACUUACUAUUUAUCCUAAUUUUAGGAAAAGAAACCGAUGUAUUUAUC
rnacentral:lncRNA from 1 species